rnacentral:rRNA from 1 species
AUGGGCGCAAGCCUGAUGCAGCCAUGCCGCGUGUAUGAAGAAGGCCUUCGGGUUGUAAAGUACUUUCAGCAGUGAGGAAGGUGGAUGUGUUAAUAGCGCAUUCAUUUGACGUUAGCUGCAGAAGAAGCACCGGCUAACUCCGUGCCAGCAGCCGCGGUAAUACGGAGGGUGCGAGCGUUAAUCGGAAUUACUGGGCGUAAAGCGCAUGCAGGUGGAUGAUUAAGUCAGAUGUGAAAGCCCGGGGCUCAACCUCGGAAUAGCAUUUGAAACUGGUCAUCUAGAGUACUGUAGAGGGGGGUAGAAUUUCAGGUGUAGCGGUGAAAUGCGUAGAGAUCUGAAGGAAUACCAGUGGCGAAGGCGGCCCCCUGGACAGAUACUGACACUCAGAUGCGAAAGCGUGGGGAGCAAACAGGAUUAGAUACCCUGGUAGUCCACGCCGUAAACGAUGUCUACUUGGAGGUUGUGGCCUUGAGCCGUGGCUUUCGGAGCUAACGCGUUAAGUAGACCGCCUGGGGAGUACGGUCGCAAGAUUAAAACUCAAAUGAAUUGACGGGGGCCCGCACAAGCGGUGGAGCAUGUGGUUUAAUUCGAUGCAACGCGAAGAACCUUACCUACUCUUGACAUCCAGAGAAGCCAGCGGAGACGCAGGUGUGCCUUCGGGAGCUCUGAGACAGGUGCUGCAUGGCUGUCGUCAGCUCGUG